GACGUAGGGCGCGAGCGUUGUCCGGAUUUAUUGGGCGUAAAGAGCUCGUAGGCGGCUUGUCGCGUCGUCCGUGAAAACCCACAGCUCAACUGUGGGCUUGCGGUCGAUACGGGCAGGCUAGAGUUCGGUAGGGGAGACUGGAAUUCCUGGUGUAGCGGUGAAAUGCGCAGAUAUCAGGAGGAACACCGGUGGCGAAGGCGGGUCUCUGGGCAUUAACUGACGCUGAGGAGCGAAAGCCAUGGGGAGCGAACAGG
rnacentral:rRNA from 1 species